CCUUGCUCCGCUUCCUCUGCAACCAUGUCUGACAAACCCGAUAUGGCUGAGAUUGAGAAAUUCAAUAAGUCGAAAUUGAAGAAGACAGAAACUCAAGAGAAAAAUCCACUGCCUUCAAAAGAAACGAUUGAACAGGAGAAGCAAGCAGGCGAAUCGUAAUGAGGCAUGCGCCGCCGAUAUGCACUGUACAUUCCACAAGCAUUGCCUUCUUAUUUUACUUCUUUUAGCUGUUUAACUUUGUAAGAUGCAAAGUGGUUGGAUAAGUUUAAGUGACUGUGCUACCCCUUUUCACAUCAAAGAAUCGAGAACUACUGACAACGAAGACGCUUGCCUCUCCCAUCUGCCUGUCUGGCUGGCAGGGAAGGAAAAGAACUUGCAUGUUGGUGAAGGAAGAAGCUGGGUGGGACAACAAGAUCGGAAGACCG